rnacentral:rRNA from 1 species
CCUACGGGAGGCAGCAGUAGGGAAUUUUCGUCAAUGGGCGCAAGCCUGAACGAGCAAUGCCGCGUGAACGAGGAAGGUCUUCGGGUCGUAAAGUUCUGUUGAAGGGGAACAAGAGCGUAGAGAGGAGAUGGUCUCCGAUUGAUAUUACCCUUCGAGGCAGUCACGGCUAACUACGUGCCAGCAGCCGCGGUAAUACGGAGGUGGCGAGCGUUAUCCGGAAUGAUUGGGCGUAAGGGGUGCGUAGGCGGCCUGCUAAGUCUGGAGUGAAAGGUACCGGCUCAACCGGUACAGGCUCUGGAAACUGACGGGCUAGAGAGCAGGAGAGGGCGGUGGAACUCAAUGUGUAGCGGUAAAAUGCGUAGAUAUAUGGAAGAACACCAGUGGCGAAGGCGGCCGCCUGGCCUGUGACUGACGCUGAGGCACGAAAGCGUGGGGAGCAAAUAGGAUUAGAUACCCCAGUAGUC